GCUACUGUAGCUCAGCAGGCAGAGCAGCUCACUCGUAAUGAGCAGGUCGUCCGUUCGAAUCGGAUCAGUAGCUCCA
rnacentral:tRNA from 1 species